AGGGAAAAACAAAAACAAAGAAAGUGAUGCUUAGAUUGCGAUGUGGUAGGGAGGGACUCGGUGAGGGUUUUGUAAGAGCAUGAAAAAGUGAUCCGUCCUUAGUUACAAACUUCUUCUUCUUCUUGUUCUCGUCUCUAAAAAUCCUUCCUUUAUUUCUGGGUCUUCUCGAAUUUUUUUCAAUCUCUCAUUCACAGACACAUACGAGUCCGAUCUCAUUCAUCUUUCGGAUCCAACACACCAUGGAGGUUGAAGAAGAAGUGAAACGAAUCGUCGAACAAGUUAAAGAGCUUCACGACUCUUCCACUUCCUUCGUCUCUUCUUCUUCCCAAGAAGAGCUCUCUCUCCGUAAAAGAGCCUCCGUCGUUGACUCAUCAAUCCGCCGUCUCCACUCAACCCUUGUCUCCGACAAGCAUCUCGAUCCCAAACUUUUCGAAAAGCUAGAGGAGGAUCUGCAACGUGCUAGAUGCAUGCUUGCUGAUGGAGACACUUCAUCGUUUCUUCCCUCCAAACCUCAAGGACGCUUUGUAAGAAUGUUUUUGGGACCUGUGAAUGUUAAAGCUUCACGGAAAGAUAUACAGCUUAAAGUUAAAGAAGAAUACAAUAGCUACAGAGAUAGGACAGCUCUUCUUUUUCUUGUUUUCCCUGCAAUUCUUUUGACAUUAAGAUCUUAUGUGUGGGAUGGAUGUUUGCCUGCAUUCCCUGUUCAGCUCUAUCAGGCUUGGCUUCUGUUCCUUUAUGCUGGUUUGGUUAUGCGAGAGAACAUUUUGAGAGCUAAUGGGAGUGAUAUCCGUUCAUGGUGGCUUUAUCAUCAUUAUUUUGCCAUGGCAAUGGCCCUUGUCAGUCUCACUUGGGAAAUCAAAGGUCAACCAAACUGUGUUCAGAAGCAGAAAGGAGUGCUUCUUUUCCUCCAAUGGGCUAUGAUGCAAGGUGUUGCGAUGCUUCUGCAAAAUAGAUAUCAACGCCAAAGAUUAUACACUCGCAUUGCGCUUGGAAAGGCUAAAAGGAUGGACGUUGUAUGGGGAGAAACAGCUGGAGUAGAUGGGCAAUUGUUGCUAUUAUUUCCUAUUUUGUUCACUUUACAGGGCUUUGAAGCAUAUGUGGGACUGCAGUUGCUUAGGACAGUAUUUAUGGGGGUAGUCGCUGAAUGGCAGGUAUUGGUUUGUGGCAUUCUUCUGGUUGUGAUGGCCAUUGGAAACUUCAUAAAUACAGUAGAGACAUUAAUGGUGAAGUCAAGGUUUAAGGCUAAGAUGAAGAGAAGUAAAAGCAAAGCAGAACUCGACUAAACUUGCUAACUUAUUAUAUAACUACAGCUUUAUAGUCUCCAACUGUGGAUCUUUUUCCCCAUUAUUUGUUUUACUUUCAUAAAUUUUGUUUUCUUGGGGCAAAAGUGACCUAAGAGUCUGGAAAAAAAAAAGAAAAAAGAAAAAAAAAAAAAAAAAAAAAAGGGAGCGCCCUUUCUUUGUGUAAAUGGAAGUGGGACUUGAUGGAUUGAAUCGUGUUUUCAACUAACACUUGUUGGGUUUCCAGUUAUCAGAUCCUUAAAAAUGGUGUUGAACUUAAAUUUGUAUCUU